UACGUAGGUGGCGAGCGUUGUCCGGAAUUAUUGGGCGUAAAGGGCGUGUAGGCGGGAUAUUAAGUCUUAAGUAUAAAUGCGGGGCUCAACCUCGUAUUGCUUAAGAAACUGAUAUUCUUGAGUUAAGGAGAGGAAAGUGGAAUUCCCAGUGUAGCGGUGAAAUGCGUAGAGAUUGGGAGGAACACCAGUGGCGAAGGCGACUUUCUGGACUUAUACUGACGCUGAGGCGCGAAAGCCAGGGGAGCGAACGGGAUUAGAUACCCCGGUAGUCCUGGCCGUAAACGAUGGGUACUAGGUGUAGGAGGUAUCGACCCCUUCUGUGCCGGAGUUAACGCAAUAAGUACCCCGCCUGGGGAGUACGGCCGCAAGGUUGAA
rnacentral:rRNA from 1 species